AGCUGGGGUUAUCUGCACUUUUACAGCCCUGUCAUGCAGUAAUGGAGCAGAUAAGCUGCUAGGUGGUGGCCACUUGGACACUCAUUAAAACCUCUGCUGAGAAAGGGAGCAAGGAGAGGGGACAGUCAUGGCAGGAAGAGACCAAGGAGAGAACCAGAAGCUCUCUGCUAUGGCUUGGGAAAUCAGUAGGAGAUGGCCCAAGUCCUUGGGCCCCUGCACCCACGUGGGAGACCGAGAAGAAGCUCCUGGCUCCUGGCUUCAGAUUGGUGCAGCUUUGGCCAUUGCAGCCAGUUGGGGAGUGAACCAGCAGAUGGACGACCUCCCUGUCUGCCUCUCCUUCUCUCUCUGUGCAACUCUGCCUUUCAAAUAAAUAAAUAAAUCUUUACAAAAAGGAUAUGGCAUUAAAA